rnacentral:rRNA from 1 species
UACGUAGGGGGCUAGCGUUGUCCGGAAUCAUUGGGCGUAAAGCGCGUGUAGGCGGCCCGGUAAGUCCGCUGUGAAAGUCGGGGGCUCAACCCUCGGAUGCCGGUGGAUACUGUCGGGCUCGAGUACGGAAGAGGCGAGUGGAAUUCCUGGUGUAGCGGUGAAAUGCGCAGAUAUCAGGAGGAACACCAAUUGCGAAGGCAGCUCGCUGGGACGUUACUGACGCUGAGACGCGAAAGCGUGGGAGCAAACAGG